rnacentral:lncRNA from 1 species
GUUUUGAAGGCAGAACAGCCCUACAUUGGGGCAUCAUCCUAAAAGUUUUGAGAAGGGAAAUGGCAUCUAAUGGACAGGUACCCAGAGUUGAAGCUCCCUCUGAUUCCAGCACCAGUCUAACCCCAUGUUCCUGAAGCAGUUUCUUUACCUUUAUUCUAACCAGAGUGAUCUACCUUUUGCCUCAAUGAAGAUACAAAGCAGUGUUAGUUCAUGGAAUGAAUGACUUCAAUAAAGUAAACACACA